CCAAAACAAUGGCCGAAAGGCCUUGCCCUAGGGGGGGAGACCCCCCGACGGUAAACCCUUUGUGAAAACCCUCCUGUUUGCCUCGGCGGCACGUCCCUCACGGGGCGGUCAGCCCGCCGACGGCACCAAACCAAAACUCUUUUGAAUUGAAGAAUCAGUCUGAAUCAAUGGUCGAAUGACUAUA
rnacentral:misc_RNA from 1 species